rnacentral:misc_RNA from 1 species
UCUCCGUUGGUGAACCAGCGGAGGGAUCAUUACAGAGUUACACAACUCCCAACCCCUGCGAACCACACCCCAGUUUGUUCUCGUUGCCUCCUGGCGGCGGGCCCCCGGCGCCACCCCCGGGGCCGCGCCUUACGGGGCCUCGCCCCCGAACCCGUUUUUACCCCACCCUCCAAUAUCUUUAACUAAACAAACGAUAAAAAAAGUACAACAAUGAAAUAAAUGCAAAACUUUCAACAAAGGAACUCUGGGUUCUGGAAGCGAAGAAGAACGCACCAGAUC